rnacentral:rRNA from 1 species
UACGUAGGGGGCAAGCGUUGUCCGGAUUUAUUGGGCGUAAAGAGCGUGUAGGCGGCCAGGUAGGUCAGCUGUGAAAACUCGAGGCUCAACCUCGAGACGUCGGUUGAAACCACCUGGCUAGAGUCCGGAAGAGGAGAGUGGAAUUCCUGGUGUAGCGGUGAAAUGCGCAGAUAUCAGGAAGAACACCCGUGGCGAAGGCGGCUCACUGGGUAUCUUCUGACGCUGAGGUACGAAAGCUAGGGGAGCGAACGGG